rnacentral:rRNA from 1 species
GGCUGAAACUCGCCUACAUGAAGCUGGAAUUGCUAGUAAUCACAGGUCAGCAUACUGUGGUGAAUACGUUCCCGGGCCUUGUACACACCGCCCGUCACGACCAUGAGAGUUGAGAAUACCCGAAGCCCAUGUCAAAGUGGUCGAAGGUAGGCUUGAUGAUUGGGGUGAAGUCGUAACAAGGUACC